UACGAAGGGGGCUAGCGUUGUUCGGAUUUACUGGGCGUAAAGCGCACGUAGGCGGAUCGUUAAGUCGGGGGUGAAAUCCUGGAGCUCAACUCCGGAACUGCCUUUGAUACUGGAGAGCUUGAGUCCGGGAGAGGUGAGUGGAACUGCGAGUGUAGAGGUGAAAUUCGUAGAUAUUCGCAAGAACACCAGUGGCGAAGGCGGCUCACUGGCCCGGUACUGACGCUGAGGUGCGAAAGCGUGGGGAGCAAACAGG
rnacentral:rRNA from 1 species